rnacentral:rRNA from 1 species
GACGAACGCUGGCGGCGUGCCUAAUACAUGCAAGUCGAACGCAGUGGGGACGGGUUAGUAACCCGUGGGUAACCUACCCUCAGCGGGGAUAACACUUGGAAACAGGUGCUACACCGAUACUGAUGGAUGGACCCGCGGUGCAUUAGCUAGUUGGUGGGGUAACGGCUCACAAAGGCGACGAUGCAUAGCCGACCUGAGAGGAUGACCAGCCACACUGGAACUGAGACAUGGUCCAGACUCCUACGGGAGGCAGCAGUGGGGAAUAUUGCACAAUGGGCGCAAGCCUGAUGCAGCCAUGCCGCGUGUAUGAAGAAGGCCUUCGGGUUGUAAAGUACUUUCAGCGGGGAGGCGUUACCCGCAGAAGAAGCACCGGCUAACUCCGUGCCAGCAGCCGCGGUAAUUC